GAAAUGCGAAAAGUAAUGUGAAUUGCAGAAUUCAGUGAAUCAUCGAAUCUUUGAACGCACAUUGCGCCCGCCAGUAUUCUGGCGGGCAUGCCUGUCUGAGCGUCAUUUCAACCCUCAUGCCCCUAGGGCGUGGUGUUGGGGAUCGGCCAGCGCCCGCGAGGGACGGCCGGCCCCUAAAUCUAGUGGCGGACCCGUCGUGGCCUCCCCUGCGAAGUAGUGAUAUUCCGCAUAGGAGAGCGACGAGCCCCUGCCGUUAAACCCCCAACUUUCUAAGGUUGACCUCAGAUCAGGUAGGAAUACCCGCUGAACUUAAGC
rnacentral:misc_RNA from 1 species